GAUAAUAGAACGCACAUGCUUAUUGCAUAUGUGGGAACCGAUAGCCCCAAAAAUCGACAGUCUACUUCAAAGUAAAAUAAAGGGUUUUCUCCCAACCGACAUACAGUAUUUAACAAGCUAGGCUUGAGCAUCGACAGUCUACUUCAAAGUAGAAUAAAGGGUUUUCUCCCAACCAACAUACAGUAUUUAACAAGCUAGGCUUGAGCAUAGUAAUAAAAAGGAGAAUGCAUUGGUUUCAAUUACAACGUUAAAUACAACAGAACUUUCAUCAUUCCUCCAUAACAUGUUAAACAGGCUAACUGAAGAACUAACACAAGUAAUUUAUUCAAGGCCGGGUUGAAUAAACUACCACAGCUAUAUCAAAUCAAUUUUUAUUUGCAGCGGCCAAAUGUUUACCCAAAGAAAGGCCUAAUACGAAACGAUCAAUUCAAAAAAUAAGCAUAUAAGGAGAUUAAAAUCCAAAACCUGAUAGCUACUAACAAAAAUGUGAGCAACAUUCCAAGCAGUGAGAAGGUCAAAACUUAAGAAUUGGCAACCAGAUCCUCGGGAGCAUACUCGUUUGGAAUUCCUUCACUGAGGAUUUUUGCUGCUUCCUCAGCAGUUUCCUGGGUAUCUGCACUUCCUUGCUCAAUUUGUUUCUGUUUUGAUGAGUAAAAAAAAAAUGAAGAAAAAAUUUACCAAAGCCUCAGUCGUACAUAAAUUUCACAAUGUUCUCUUGAACCUUAUUAAUACUCAUCAAAACUGUUUCCUCGACGGUAACGUAGCUCCAAAGAAACCUGUCGUUCAUAUAAAAGCUGGCGACGAAAAUUAGUGAUAAAAAUCUCUGCCCUGCGAUCAAUAUCAUCGUCACCAUCAUAAGCACAACUUUUUGUUCUUUGAAGUACCCGAACUGAGCUACCCUCAUCAGGGUCUCGAUCAACAAUGCAAUAUUGCAAGCCUAAUCGAUCGUUAAAACUCAAUGAACGCCGGCUCUGAGAAAAACCAGCACGGCAUAUUGAAGCUAAGUUCCAUUUGCUUAGCUUUAUACGGCUUAAAAUCAUGUGUAAUUUCUUCACUGCUUUCUUUAGGUGGCCUUGCAUGAGUGACCGGCUUUGAUGCUUACCCAUUUGUUUGUUCAAGUGCAGACUUGUAAUGAUAUUUGAUGCUGAAACAGAGCUGUGGUUUGGUACUUAUAAGCAAGAGAGGGCGAGUGAGUGAGAAAAUUCUCGGACAAGAUACAGUACUUCGAGCUAGCAAGAAAGCGCGUUAGAAGUCGGAAAUGAUUUGGGAGUUAUAAACUGACAGCUAGUUACGUUAGUGUUUCAUCGAAGGGAAUUGCUAAAAUGACAAAAGUUGUCGUUUAUGUGCUUGUGAUACAAGCCAGACGGUCAAAGCUUUUGGCAAGGUUUCUAGCAAAACCCUCGGGUGAUUCGUCUGGUUUUGUAUACAUGGUCACAGCUUGUUAGAUUAGUAGCUUUGAUUGAAAUUCUUGCUGACCAAGUUUUGAUAGGUGCAACUGAACAGAAUUAUAAUUUGCCAUCGACUAUGAUUACAAAUAACAAGUGUAACGAUAAUAGAACGCACAUGCUUAUUGCAUAUGUGGGAACCGAUAGCCCCAAAAAUCGACAGUCUACUUCAAAGUAAAAUAAAGGGUUUUUUCCCAACCGACAUACAAUAUUUAACAAGCUAGGCUUGAGCAUCGACAGUCUACUUCAAAGUAGAAUAAAGGGUUUUCUCCCAACCAACAUACAGUAUUUAACAAGCUAGGCUUGAGCAUAGUAAUAAAAAGGAGAAUGCAUUGGUUUCAAUUACAACGUUAAAUACAACAGAACUUUCAUCAUUCCUCCAUAACAUGUUAAACAGGCUAACUGAAGAACUAACACAAGUAAUUUAUUCAAGGCCGGGUUGAAUAAACUACCACAGCUAUAUCAAAUCAAUUUUUAUGGGCAGCAGCCAAAUGUUUACCCAAAGAAAGGCCUAAUACGAAACGAUCAAUUCAAAAAAUAAGCAUAUAAGAAGAUUAAAAUCCAAAACCUGAUAGCUACUAACAAAAAUGUGAGCAACAUUCCAAGCAGUGAGAAGGUCAAAACUUAAGAAUUGGCAACCAGAUCCUCGGGAGCAUACUCGUUUGGAAUUCCUUCACUGAGGAUUUUUGCUGCUUCCUCAGCAGUUUCCUGGGUAUCUGCACUUCCUUGCUCAAUUUGUUUCUGUUUGCUUG
rnacentral:lncRNA from 1 species